rnacentral:rRNA from 1 species
UACGUAGGUGGCGAGCGUUGUCCGGAGUUAUUGGGCGUAAAGCGCGCGCAGGCGGCCUCGCGCGCCCGACGUGAAAGCCCCCGGCUUAACCGGGGAGGGUCGUUGGGGACGGCGGGGCUUGAGGGCGGGAGAGGUCGGUGGAAUUCCCGGUGUAGUGGUGAAAUGCGUAGAGAUCGGGAGGAACACCUGUGGCGAAGGCGGCCGACUGGGCCGACCCUGACGCUGAGGCGCGAAGGCGUGGGGAGCGAACGGG